rnacentral:rRNA from 1 species
AUGGAGACCCUUCGGGCGGAGCUUGCCCGAGCCAAGGAGCAAGCAAGGAGUAGCAAUGCGGUCGCUUUAAAGGCGGCCGAAGAGUUAAGGACUGAACAGGCCGCGCAUUGUGAGAGCAAGGAAAAAAUAGCCAAGAUGGCUGUAGAGUUAAAAGAUGCUGCUGACCGUUACCAGCUUCUUGAAGAAGAAAACCAGGCAAAGGCGACGGACCUGGAGAAGGCCCAGGUGGCUGUCAAGGAAGCCCGCUCCAAAAUUAGAGCGACGAGGGAGGAGCUGAAUCAAGCUGCAGAUAUCAUGUCUGGGAAGCCCUUCUUGUUGCGGACUAAGUUCGGAGAUCCGAAGUAUGCUCCUCUGGACCGGCUAUGGAGUUCUGCGGACGCGUACAUGGAUUUGGCUGCAAGUGCUGCUGAUGCGGCCGAGUACUUCAAGGAUCAGAAAGGUCCCGAAGUGGAAAAGCUGUUCUGGUCACAGUUUCAAGUUCCAGUCCGUCCGCUACUGUUGAAUGAGCGAUUGGCCGGGUGGGCCGAGCUCCAUAGGUUGUCCGGACUUGCCAUGAGGUCCGUUGUGGAUCACCUGUGGCCGGGAGGGCCAAGGCCCAAUAGCUACUUCAGCUUACUGCAACAAUUCCUUGGUGUUGUGCCACCCAUCGAUGCUGUAAAGAGAUCGGCGUGCAUAGAAGAUGCGCGGAUGGCCCAUCCCCGUGUCAAGACAUACUAG